UUUCCGUUUUACUUGUACUCCACUACAUUUAUCUGACAGCUUUAGUAACGUCUCAGGUCGACAUUUAACAAUUUACAAUAAAAAAAACCCCUGUUAAUUUAAAGUGAUUAUGCAUGUUUAUCAAUUAAACCUUAAACAGUAUAUUAAGCAGUUAAAAUGAGCCCAACAGUAAAACUCUGCUUUCAUGAAUGCAUCAAUAAUAUUAAUGCAACAAUAAAUGUUAACUAUAUAUAAAACAGUCUAUUUAGAAAUAAGCAUGUUGAACACUUAAAAUAAUAAAUGAACUCUUAAACCAGAUACAGUAAAGCUGCCAGCAGUGAUGAACUGGCCGAGCAGAGUGACCUGAUGAUUAUUUGGUUCUUACCAAGAUAAAAAAAAAACUUUAGAUUUAGAAGUGUUAGAUCAUUUAUCUGGUUUUAAGAGCUAAUUUCUUAUUUUAAGUGUUCAACAUGUUUAUUUCUAGAUUUAAUAAUCUUAAUUUAAGAAAUCUUAAAUUAUCUGUCCAUGCAGCAAGAUCAUUUCCCUCAGAUUUACUGUUUGAUCUGGUUUUAGAUAUUUUUAUCAGUGCUGAUAAGGAGUCUAUUAAAAAUGUUUAUUUAACCCCUUAAAGCCUCCUACAGACCAGAGGGUCUGAGAUCUUUCUAAUAAGACCUCUAAAAUGUAUUUUGGCCUUAAAGUUCUUCUCUUAUAAGCUUUUCAUCAUAGUUUUAGAUUUUUCAUUAGUUUUAGUUUAAUUUUGUUGUGAUUUUUUGUUUUCAAAUCCAGUUCGUUUUAAUGAGUUUUGAGAGUGAGUUUGCUAGUUUUAAUUAGUUUUUAUUUUUUUGAAAAUGCUUAGUUUUAGUUUAGUUUUUAUUAGUUUUAGUUUAGUUUUUAUUAGUUUUAGUUUAGUUUUUAUUAGUUGUAGUUUAUUUUUAUUAGUUGUAGUUGUUUUGUAAUGGGGUAUUUGUUGGGUCCAGAUUCAAUAAGGUCACAAUAAAUGUUUCCUUUAUUUCCUUUGUCUGAUCCAUCUCAGCCCCAAUAAGUUUAUUAA